CUCUAGUUUAUUUUGACGGCCCAGCACAUUUAUCGUCAAAAACACGGAAAUCUCCUGCCCAUUAUUCCGCGCGCUCGAUAUCGUCCUUGCUCGCUAAUUACAAAUAGAUUAUUCACGAGAUUUCGUGUUAUAUUUGUUGAAGGGAAAUGACAUUUCUUCAUUUAGAUUCACAAAGGGGGCAUUUUUUUGUAACCUGUCUUGCCGCACAGAUGGCAGACUGUGGAGGAUUCCGAAGGGGGAAGAGCCUGAGCCAUCCACGUGCGGCCGCAACAACAGGUUCCCAAAAACAACACGAGAACAAAAAAAAAAGGACGAUGCGAAGAAGUAGAAGAGAGGAGUAAUAUAACGAAGCUCAAAGACCCGAAAAACGAGAGAGAAGCUUCGGGCUUUUAACUAAUUUAAUGUUGAAAUAA